UACGUAGGGUGCAAGCGUUGUCCGGAAUUAUUGGGCGUAAAGAGCUCGUAGGCGGUUUGUUGCGUCGGCUGUGAAAUCCCGAGGCUCAACCUCGGGUCUGCAGUCGAUACGAGCAAACUAGAGUGUUGCAGGGGAGACUGGAAUUCCUGGUGUAGCGGUGGAAUGCGCAGAUAUCAGGAGGAACACCGGUGGCGAAGGCGGGUCUCUGGGCAGUAACUGACGCUGGAGGAGCGAAAGCCGUGGGGAGCGAACAGG
rnacentral:rRNA from 1 species